rnacentral:rRNA from 1 species
GUCGACCGAGAAAUCUACUUCGGCUGAUGGACCGCGGCGAAAGGGACAGUAAUGUGUAGGUACCUACCCUCUGAUCUGGGAUAGCUGCGGGAAACUGCAGGUAAUACCGGAUAAUGUCUUCGGACCAAAGGUGUGAUUCCGUCUGAGGAGGGGCCUGCAUCCUAUUAGCUUGUUGGUGAGGUAAUGGCUCACCAAGGCAACGAUGGGUAGCGGGUGUGAGAGCAUGACCCGCGUCAUUGGGACUGAGACACUGCCCAGACAUCUACGGAUGGCUGCAGUCGAGAAUCUUCGGCAAUGGGCGAAAGCCUGACCGAGCGACGCCGCGUGCGGGAUGAAGGCCCUCGGGUUGUAAACCGCUGUCGUUGGGGAGGAAAUGCAUGAGGGCUAUCCCUCUUGUUUGACCGAUCCAAGGAGGAAGUACGGGCUAAGUUCGUGCCAGCAGCCGCGGUAAGACGAACCGUACGAACGUUACUCGGAAUUACUGGGCUUAAAGGGUGCGUAGGCUGCACGGAAAGUUGGGUGUGAAAGCCCUCAGCUCAACUGAGGAAUUGCAUCCAAAA